UACGUAGGGUGCAAGCGUUGUCCGGAAUUAUUGGGCGUAAAGAGCUCGUAGGCGGUCUGUCGCGUCGGAUGUGAAAACUCGGGGCUCAACCCCGGGCCUGCAUUCGAUACGGGCAGACUAGAGUACGGCAGGGGAGACUGGAAUUCCUGGUGUAGCGGUGAAAUGCGCAGAUAUCAGGAGGAAUACCUAUGGCGAAAGCAGGUAUCUGGGCCAUCACUGACGCUGAGCUGCGAAAGCUAGGGGAGCAAACAGG
rnacentral:rRNA from 1 species